GAUCCUGGCUCAGAGCGAACGCUGGCGGCAGGCCUAACACAUGCAAGUCGAACGGACCCUUCGGGGUUAGUGGCGGACGGGUGAGUAACACGUGGGAACGUGCCUUUGGGUUCGGAAUAGCUCCUGGAAACGGGUGGUAAUGCCGAAUGUGCCCUUCGGGGAAGAUUUAUCGCCUUUAGAGCGGCCCGCGUCUGAUUAGCUAGUUGGUGAGGUAACGGCUCGCCAAGGCGACGAUCAGUAGCUGGUCUGAGAGGA
rnacentral:rRNA from 1 species